AUUAUCAGUAGCCUCAUCCUCAAACCAAUUAACCAGUUAUGGCUUGACAUAGAAUUACACAAACACGAUGGUGUCCCAGUCCAUUGUCCAGCUGACCAUUCUACAAUGAGCAACGAUUAAUGUUUACCUUCCUCUGCUGGGGUUUCAUUCUGAGGAGGGGUGCUUUCCUGGGCCUGCUGAAAAUUUUGGCAGGGGUAUCCUCUGGGUGGAUAGGCCCAGCCCUGCAUCCAUGGGAAGGGAGGGACUCCAUGAUGCAUUUUACGGAACCAACGGCUGCGCGGAUAGACCUGAAAAACAGACUGAUUGCAGUAUUUCAAGGCAAAGCUUAAUUUCUCAAAAACAGCCAAGAGCACACAGAGCAAGUGCAGUGUCACUGACACUAAACAGAUGGCUUAACAAGGUCUAAGAUGGUGAGCUGAUCUGGAGUCCUGCAUAAUUCCUGUUGCCUCUGCUGUUACAACAAGUGCAGUAUAUAAAAUACAGCAUUUCAAGAGAAAUUCGUUUUAGGCUAGGCGUCCUCCUUCAAUGUAAUACACAGCCUGGCUGAAUUCUGAUAAGAUUGAAAAAUGAAGUCUGAUCUGCUGAGACUAUACAUUGGUGACCGUGGGAAGCUACAACCUUUGCACAGUUGCACACUAUACUUCCUGUACAGGAGAUUGCCUCAAUGCUGUGUGAGUUGUUUCUAUUAUAGGUGCCAUGGAUCUACCACGUAUUUCAUUGACUAAACACUGGACAGCUAUUAUGGUAUCUGCUAAGAACAUCUGGAAGGCUCCCCCUUUGAGGCCCUGGAACACGCCAGUCACCUUGUUAGCUAGCAGCUCGCAGCUGGACACGGACGCCUUCU